rnacentral:lncRNA from 1 species
UAAAAAGAUAAGAUUAGGAGACACGAAUUAAGCCAACACGGCACGAGGGGAUAACAUAAUAUGAAGAGGAAGGGCAAUAGUUGUAUUGAAUUUGGCUUCACAAGAAAAAUAGAGAAAUAAAACGAAAGAAAACGAGGUGAAAGAGAGGAAGGGGGUGUGAAUACGGACCCGGGGAUCUUAUCGAUUUCGAACUCGACGCCGUCCCUGGCCAGAACGAACAUCUCUCCCGAGAAGGGGACGGGCAUCCCGUCGGCCAACAGAUGAGGAUUCAGAGACAUCUCGCUUCCCUCCUCUGUCUCGAUUCCUGUCUCUACGAUCAAGAUUUUUAGGUCAGAAUCUUCCACAGGAAGAGGUCGAGUAAGGAGGGCAGAUCCCCGAAACAAUUAAAAGGAAGGAGGAAAGAGGGGGGACCAAGGGAGAGACCGAGUCGGUUACUCGCUGGAGGGUUCAAGAUUGAUAUGGAUCGAGGCUUUUUAAUCCUGCCACCUCGCUGCGUAACCGCGUCGCGCCGGAAGGCUAGAACUCGCUACCCUGUCCACCCCUGG